rnacentral:rRNA from 1 species
UGAGGAAUAUUGGUCAAUGGACGGAAGUCUGAACCAGCCAAGUAGCGUGCAGGAUGACGGCCCUAUGGGUUGUAAACUGCUUUUGUAUGGGGAUAAAGUUAGGGACGUGUCCCUAUUUGCAGGUACCAUACGAAUAAGGACCGGCUAAUUCCGUGCCAGCAGCCGCGGUAAUACGGAAGGUUCAGGCGUUAUCCGGAUUUAUUGGGUUUAAAGGGAGCGUAGGCUGGAGAUUAAGUGUGUUGUGAAAUGUAGACGCUCAACGUCUGAAUUGCAGCGCAUACUGGUUUCCUUGAGUACGCACAACGUUGGCGGAAUUCGUCGUGUAGCGGUGAAAUGCUUAGAUAUGACGAAGAACUCCGAUUGCGAAGGCAGCUGACGGGAGCGCAACUGACGCUUAAGCUCGAAGGUGCGGGUAUCAAACAGGAUUAGAUACCCUGGUAGUCCGCACAGUAAACGAUGGAUGCCCGCUGUUGGUACCUGGUAUCAGCGGCUAAGCGAAAGCAUUAAGCAUCCCACCUGGGGAGUACGCCGGCNACGGU